AGGUGGAGAGCUACCUGGACUCUUACGACUAAGAGCGAGAGACUCACGGAGAAGUAAGGCGUGGUUCCUAGGUGGAACAGAGGGCAGGCGCAACUCCUGGAUGAGUAGACUCUUGGAAGAGUGGUGGGCUUAUGAUCAUAUUGAGAUACUCAGAUAAUGACUGUCGCACUUGGAAUAUCCGUUUGAGGGGGUGUUGUAAGCCUUGGUGUGAGGCUUGAUAAAUCAUUCCGGACCGAGCAUGGUUGAUACGCUCGAAGGGGAAUGUUCCCAGAGACAAGCGUUAACACUCUUCAGAUGUGAUGUGUGAG
rnacentral:lncRNA from 1 species